rnacentral:rRNA from 1 species
UAGGGAAUCUUCCGCAAUGGACGCAAGUCUGACGGAGCAACGCCGCGUGAGUGAAGAAGGAUUUCGGUUCGUAAAACUCUGUUGUUAGAGAAGAACAGCGCAUAGAGUAACUGUUAUGCGUGUGACGGUAUCUAACCAGAAAGCCACGGCUAACUACGUGCCAGCAGCCGCGGUAAUACGUAGGUGGCAAGCGUUGUCCGGAUUUAUUGGGCGUAAAGCGAGCGCAGGCGGUCAAUUAAGUCUGAUGUGAAAGCCCCCGGCUCAACCGGGGAGGGUCAUUGGAAACUGGUUGACUUGAGUGCAGAAGAGGAGAGUGGAAUUCCAUGUGUAGCGGUGAAAUGCGUAGAUAUAUGGAGGAACACCAGUGGCGAAGGAGACUCUCUGGUCUGUAACUGACGCUGAGGUUCGAAAGAGUGGGUAGCAAACAGG